rnacentral:rRNA from 1 species
GCCUACGGGAGGCAGCAGUGGGGAAUUUUGGACAAUGGGCGCAAGCCUGAUCCAGCCAUUCCGCGUGCAGGAUGAAGGCCCUCGGGUUGUAAACUGCUUUUGUACGGAACGAAACGGUGCUCUCUAAUACAGGGCGCUAAUGACGGUACCGUAAGAAUAAGCACCGGCUAACUACGUGCCAGCAGCCGCGGUAAU